rnacentral:lncRNA from 1 species
UGAAUUUGCCUGUCAGGUUAACAUUAUUCCUCUUUUUAAAAAACAUGGCAUGCCCAUCACAUAAAGAAGUCGCUUACUGUUUAAUAGUAUAUCAGGAAAAAUAAUGGCCUUUUAUCCAAAAACUUCAAAUCAGUGCUGUUAAUUUGGAUCUUCGAUCCCACAGUUGCUUUGCUGGGGUGUUGCAUACAAAAGAUGUGGCAUUAGUUUCACCCCCUCCCAUGGCGUAUGCAUUUUCAAGGUGACAAAAAAAAGUAUACAUAUAAAAUAGGAUUUUGUCAUGGAAAGUGGCAAAAGUUAGAUUUGCAGAAAUUUUGCAGAAAUUCUUUUUUUCUGCAUAGAAAGAACUAUGGAACCCCUGCCUCUCAUAUACGGAGGUGGAUCAAUCAUAAACAAGUGCCUUUCGCUUCAGCAAAGUAGGUGCCUAAGGCAGCAAUGGUUGGUUUGCAGUGAUUGGAGUAUGUAAACUAAGACAGUUGUGCAUGCAAGAAAAACUUGGAUGCAACUGGUAAAAGGUCCCAUGCUCUUACAGAACGUGCUAGUCACUGUAGCAGCAAAAGCUCUUUCUAGGCUUUUGAAUGUGUGCCACUGAAUGAAUGUUUCUGUACCAAUUACAGUAGACUCGUAAUCAUUCAAACUCCUUGACAUCCUGGAUACAGAACUGUUUAUGAGUAAUUUGUAGUACGAUAAAAAAAAGAAUUAUGGACUAUCAUACAAACAGAUGUACCCAUAAAGUAACAUGCAAGAAUGACUGAACAGUCACUGUCUGGCUUUAUGGAUCAGACAAGAAAAUUUAAAAUGUCAGAGCUAGGAAUGUACAGUCGAGUUAGUGGCAGUGUUUAGCAACACCCUCUACAAUUGCAUUAGGGCACACCUAUGACCAUUUAUUUUUCAUAAUAUCCCACCACUGGCUAAAGUUGGCUGCAUUGCUCUUGCCUGGAAAUGACCUCCCGAAAGCCUUGUUUGAGUGUAUCGGUUUUAAGAUUAAAUGAAAAGGUAACUUGGCAAUAAAAAUUUUGAGACCUGUUUGCAUUAACCAACGACCUAAAUUACCGGAGUCUGAAUUAUGACGAGUCGACUGUUAGUGCAAAGGCCCCAGUACUCUGCGAGAAAGAAAUGGCUAUUGACGUUAUGUACAUACUAAUUUAUUUCUGUGACGAGAAUGCAAGCUUGGAAAGAUGGAGUGAUGUAAUGUAAAAAGCAAUCCUUCGCAAUCACACUUUUUCACUUGCACAUUGCUUCGAUGAUGAGCUUGACACAAGGACUUUACGUUCACCAAUGUGCAACACUCCAAGAAAAGAAGAGAAGAAUGCGAGAGGUGCACGGGUAGCCAACACACAAUGCCAGCAAGAGAGAACAAGUUUUAACAUUGUACAUAAACAAGCAAGUGGAUGGAAUCUGAUGCGUGUGUGCAUUUUCUAGUCGGCAUGAAUAAACAGGAGCCUCUAUGUUUUUUUUAUACAGAACUACAUCAUUGUCUUUUGUGUGCGGCUUCACUUGUCAGCGCUGAUACAGACACUUUCUUUCGACACACCGGCAAUCAUGGGGAAAAACCCUAGCAUUCGUUGGAGACAUUCAAGCGGGAUGAGUUUCGUGCUCUUUAGCAAACGCCUGUCAAAGUAGCACCUAAGUCGAUGGCCGAGAACCAUCAAGGCUCGAAAAGGGGACUAGAUGAAUCAACAAACAAUGUGGUACAGAGGGGUAAAAAGAAAACAUAAUACGAAAUAAUGUUGCUAUGUUCAUCUGUAGUAAACACGUAUUCACAAACAGACUUGGCUAAAGAAGCUUUUUUGGCUUGGUUGAGUGGUUGAGUGCAAGACAGUUCCACCUGUUGACUAAUGUGGACAGUGCACUUGCAUAAUGCUUUUCAACUUUGUUCCUUCAACGAGUUGCUAAAAGAAGUUUUAACGCUGUUUCUAAUCCAGUUACAUCUGGCUACAAAGAUGUUGCUGAAAAUGCAAAGGAAUGUUGC